rnacentral:lncRNA from 1 species
CUAGAGUGAAUUGCCCAGAGACCUCUGGUCAACAAGGUCACACAACGACCUAGACUGGCAAGAAAGAGGCUGUAUCUCAACUCAUGCUUUCAUGAUCAUCCAGAGAGAUCACAAGUAGACAGAGAGAGAGGAAGAAACAGGCUCCCUGUUGAGCAGAGAGCCCGAUGCGGGGCUCGAUCCCCAGGACCCGGGGAUCAUCACCUGAGCUGAAGACAGAGGCUCUAAUC